rnacentral:rRNA from 1 species
CCUACGGGCGGCAGCAGUGAGGAAUAUUGGUCAAUGGACGAGAGUCUGAACCAGCCAAGUGGCGUGAAGGAUGACUGCCCUAUGGGUUGUAAACUUCUUUUAUAUGGGAAUAAAAUGUUCCACGUGUGGGAUUUUGUAUGUACCAUAUGAAUAAGGAUCGGCUCACUCCGUGCCAGCAGCCGCGGUAAUACGGAGGAUCCGAGCGUUAUCCGGAUUUAUUGGGUUUAAAGGGAGCGUAGGUGGAUUGUUAAGUCAGUUGUGAAAGUUUGCGGCUCAACCGUAAAAUUGCAGUUGAAACUGGCAGUCUUGAGUACAGUAGAGGUGGGCGGAAUUCGUGGUGUAGCGGUGAAAUGCUUAGAUAUCACGAAGAACUCCGAUUGCGAAGGCAGUUCACUGGACUGCAACUGACACUGAGGCUCGAAAGUGUGGGUAUCAAACGGGAUUAGAUACCCCAGUAGUC